UACGAACUGUGCGAACGUUAUUCGGAAUCACUGGGCUUACAGGGUGCGUAGGCGGCCUGUCAAGUAGGGUGUGAAAGCCCCCGGCUCAACCGGGGAAUGGCGCCCUAAACUGGCGGGCUGGAGUGAGAUAGGGGUGUGCGGAACUUCCGGUGGAGCGGUGAAAUGUGUUGAUAUCGGAAGGAACGCCGGUGGCGAAAGCGGCACACUGGAUCUCAACUGACGCUGAGGCACGAAAGCCAGGGGAGCGAACGGG
rnacentral:rRNA from 1 species